rnacentral:rRNA from 1 species
GGGUUGUGAGGUUAAGCGACUAAGCGUACACGGUGGAUGCCCUGGCAGUCAGAGGCGAUGAAGGACGUGCUAAUCUGCGAUAAGCGUCGGUAAGGUGAUAUGAACCGUUAUAACCGGCGAUUUCCGAAUGGGGAAACCCAGUGUGAUUCGUCACACUAUCAUUAACUGAAUCCAUAGGUUAAUGAGGCGAACCGGGGGAACUGAAACAUCUAAGUACCCCGAGGAAAAGAAAUCAACCGAGAUUCCCCCAGUAGCGGCGAGCGAACGGGGAGCAGCCCAGAGCCUGAAUCAGUGUGUGUGUUAGUGGAAGCGUCUGGAAAGGCGCGCGAUACAGGGUGACAGCCCCGUACACAAAAAUGCACAUGCUGUGAGCUCGAUGAGUAGGGCGGGACACGUGGUAUCCUGUCUGAAUAUGGGGGGACCAUCCUCCAAGGCUAAAUACUCCUGACUGACCGAUAGUGAACCAGUACCGUGAGGGAAAGGCGAAAAGAACCCCGGCGAGGGGAGUGAAAAAGAACCUGAAACCGUGUACGUACAAGCAGUGGGAGCACGCUUAGGCGUGUGACUGCGUACCUUUUGUAUAAUGGGUCAGCGACUUAUAUUCUGUAGCAAGGUUAACCGAAUAGGGGAGCCGAAGGGAAACCGAGUCUUAACUGGGCGUUAAGUUGCAGGGUAUAGACCCGAAACCCGGUGAU